GGAUAGCAUUUCUCACAGAGCUGGAAAUAGCAGAAAUGAGGUUUCUAUGGCUUCCAGUCUUGUUGUGUAACCAUUCUGCCUCUAAGAGAAAGCAAUAUAAUUAGAAUACCAAAGACUCUUAAUCUCACAUGAGCAUUCAGUAGGUUUGGGAUGGGACCUUGAAGACCUCACCUGAGAAGGGGAAUAACUCCCUACUGAUCCAUGAACCCUGCUGCCAUCCAAGGCAAACCUGCUCAGCUAGAGAGCUCUGUGUGGAAAGUGGAGCUAAAGGAGACAUGCAGAAACAUCAUCCUCACAUAAGAAGCCAGGCAGAACUGGAGAAGCCAUCUUCAUUAAGGAUAUUAGAGAGCUUCACAAGAUGUUUGCUUCUGAAUGGAAUGGCUGUGAAAGAGAAAGACAGUAAGGAAUGAUGGACAAGAGAGGGAGCAGAGGAGAAAACUGAUCUUGGAGCUUGUCUUGGAGAAGAAGAAAUGCUGAAGAUGAUUGUACAGGCCUAACACAAGGAGAAAGAUGUGUAAAGAAGCAGCCCUUGCAAGGGGAGAAGUGACAAACACACUGGGACAAAGAACUGUGCAGGACACCCAACUGGGACACACCACAGUGAUGACUUUCUUUCUUCUGAAAUGGACUGAAUUACGUACCUCUCCACAACAGAGAACAGUACAUCAGGACUGCGGCGAUCCCGGUGGAGGAUGGCUGCUCUCUGUGUCCCGGCGUGAGCCAGUGCCGCUCCUCUGCCCUAUAAACAGAAGGACGAGCAAGGGUCUGGGAAUGAUGGACAGGCUCUGCCCUUUCAUCCUUAUCUAGGCAAAGUCUGACUCAUUUGUCUUAGUUUCGUUGAUGUUUUUAUGCCUUC